GCAGGGCCUAUGACCUGGUGCACAACUUUAGACACCAUCAUCCUGGAGCAGCACCUCACCCUCACUUGCCGGGGUGUUGAUGACUUCCUCAAGGCUAAGGCCACAUUCAAGAUUUUGGACUUCAGUGAUGCAUUUUUGCUGAGCAAGUGCAAGGGCGCUGUCCAACCUCUGGUGCUGAAGCAGCCGAGAGACCCAAGCCUGCCACUCAGGAUAUGACAGCACAGCCAGUGGCCUCUACUGGAUCCUGUACAACCUCAGAAGACACCUAGACACUGGGAGUGCUGCCACCACGUGGUGCAAGAGUUCUGAGGGACCGCAAUUCUGAAGACAUUGAAUGCUGCUUCCUGCUCCCUCCAUGGACCUGCACAGAAUUGUCCCAUGUUUCUGUUUGUUUGGGCACCACUGAGGAAGGAAGCAUGAAGGACGCAGAGGUCAGGCCAUUCUAUUGCCCUCCUGCUGCUGGGUCUUUAAUCCUGAGAUGGCUUCAGGGGCUGGUCCUUCUCCAUGGCCCCCUCCACAUAUCUCAGCCAUUUUGCAAACCCUGGUCAGAAUGAAACAUUCCUUGGGAACUCGGGCCAUGAGAAGCAUCCUUCCUGACCACCUGACUGCGGAAACAUCCUUAUCGCAUCCUCCCGGGCGAAGGCCCAACAGCCUGACUGCAGGAACAUCCUUGCCAUAUCCUGCCGGGCAGCAAGCUCUACCGCCCAGACCCCUCCUUCCCAGUCCCAUGAUCGCCCCAGCCUGUGAGCGGCAGUUGGUGAUGGCACUAAGCUGAUUUCCUCCUCUGCAGGGUUUUGCUAGUAAUAAAGGUGUUGCUGUUGAAGCCACCAA
rnacentral:lncRNA from 1 species